CGAAAUGUGAAAGUACUUUAGUAUCUGAACUAUAUUAAAUAUAUUAUGCUGCAAUCAGUUUACAAUGAAUUCCAUUGUGGUUAUACUUUUGACAUUUGUUCACACUUUGGAGGCAACUGAUAUCGGUUAUUGAAGUGAUGAAAGAGGAGGUUAUUGUAAAAACUACGAACUUCGUAAUGGAAAAUGCACAGAAUGUCCCGCUGGUACAUAUGGUUUCAACUGCACGCAUACUUGUCCUGAGGGUCAUUAUGGCAGUUUAUGCAUUGGAAUGUGUAAUUGCUCUCGUUUUGAAGUUUGUCAUCCAGCAAAAGGAUGCACUUAUGAGCUGGAAUAUUAUAAAGUUAAAUAUGAACAAUGCAAGGUUGAAGUAAAAUUGAAUAAAGAGUGCUGUAUGAACCAACGGAGGGCAGGAGAACAGUGUAAAGGAGCAAUUGUGGAUUAUGAAAGAUGGUGGCCAUUACAGCAACAAACAUGUGCUGCACAAAUAUUUCAGCUGUUGACGAUUUAGCGAAUUCUUCGACAGAAAGUGCAUCACUUAACAUCAGAUUUUUAUAGAUAAUUAUUUGAAUGGUUGACUUCGGAAAACAACACACUUACUACAGUCUAUAUCACUGUCAGCCAUUCUGCCCCCAAUUCGGUUGAAGACUUCUGUUGUGACUCCAUCAAGCACUGGUAUUGUGCUUUUAUAUGAACAGAAAUUAUACUUGUGGACCGUAUCUCCUAUUGUUUUAUCAACUUACAUGUAAUAUUUAUUAAAAUCUUUAUGUAGUAUGAAAUUAAUUACAUUUUGCAAACUAUUUUAAAGCAUUUUUACAUGUUAGAUUUUAUACGAUUGUUAAUUAUUGAUUAAAAUUG